UAGAUGGUGCAACAGAACCCG
rnacentral:piRNA from 1 species